AUGUGCAUGCAUACAACAUAUGCAUCGGAUCCCAUUAGAACUCCGUAGUCAAGAGCGCUCAGGAUAUAGUAGUACUAGGAUGGGUGAUCGCCUGAGAAGUCAUAGUGUUUUACAUU
rnacentral:rRNA from 1 species